UCCAUGCUUGAGCUAUUCAUCAGAUCCGUGAGCUUAGUGGAAGAAUGCAGAAGUCGCAGAUGUAGAGCUGGAAGCAGCGAGUGAAUAUGUGGUGGCAGCGAGAGAAGAAUUGGCUAAGGAGAUUUGAUGUGCAGCAGCAGAGUAUGGAAUAUGGAGGAAGAUUCUGGUUGAGAUGGUUUUGGUGGAGGUGAACUAGCUCAUACGGCCUUCAUCAAUGGAAGGAAGCUAGAGGGGAAAUGGUGGAAAGCAAAGGAAAGGUGACCUUCGAUGGGAGAAAAGAGCUGG
rnacentral:lncRNA from 1 species